rnacentral:rRNA from 1 species
GAUGAACGCUAGCGGCAGGCCUAACACAUGCAAGUCGAGGGGGAGGUUACUUUCGGGUAACUGAGACCGGCGUACGGGUGCGUAACGCGUAUACAAUCUGCCUUUCACUGGGGGAUAGCCCGAAGAAAUUUGGAUUAAUACCCCAUAGUAUAGUAAUACGGCAUCGUGAUGCUAUUAAAGCUUAGGUGGUGAAAGAUGAGUAUGCGUUCUAUUAGCUAGUUGGAGAGGUAACGGCUCCCCAAGGCGAUGAUAGAUAGGGGUUCUGAGAGGGAUGUCCCCCAGAAGGGAACUGAGAUACAGACCAGACGCAUAAGGGAGCCAGCAGUGAGGAAUAUAGGACGAUGGUCGGAAGAAUGAUCAAGCCAUGCGGCGUGCAGGAAGAAGGGCUUAGGGAUGGUAAACUGCUGUUGUAAGGGAAGAAUAAGGGCUACGCGUAGUUUGAUGACGGUACCUUACGAAUAAGCACCGGCUAACUCCGUG